rnacentral:lncRNA from 1 species
UCGCCACUCCACUUACAUUAAAUUUUACCCAACCAUACCUCGGAGGACACCAAAACAUGCCACCCAUCCCAGAUUUUUUUAAAUCACACCAGCUUCUAAACGGGUAAAUCCACCAUGAUCUCUCUUGCACUCUUAAUUCUUCUUGAACAGACCUAACCCACAUCAAUGCCCGCAUCUUGGAGUGAAAUAACAAACUGUUCGUUGUAGACCACUUCCUUUCAAACACC